UGGCCGCGGUAACUUGACCGUGCAAAGGUAGCAUAAUUAUUAGUCUUUUAAUUGAAGGCUUGAAUGAACGAUUGGAUGAGAAAUAAACUUUAUUAGUAAAAAUUAUUUAAGUUAUUAUUUGAGUAAAAAUUCUCAAAUUCGUAAGUGGGACGAGAAGACCCUAUAGAGUUUUAUUUUUUUUAUUGUUAUUUUAUUUAAGGAUUAAUAUUUUUAUAACAAUAAAAAAUAUUUUAUUGGGGUGAUAUUAAAAAUUACUGAACUUUUAAUUAAAAUUUCAUUAAUUUAUGAUUUGUUGAUCCAAAAAUUUUGAUUAUAAGAUUUAAUUACCUUAGGGAUAACAGCGUUAUUAAUUUGAAGAGUUCAAAUCGAUAAAUUAGUUUGCGACCUCGAUGUUGGAUUAAGAAAAUAUUUUAGAGCAGUAUUUAAAAUAAUAGGUCUGUUCGACCUUUAAAUUCUUACGUGAUCUGAGGUUCACACCGGA
rnacentral:rRNA from 1 species